AGUGAACGCUGGCGGUAGGCCUAACACAUGCAAGUCGAACGGCAGCACAGUAAGAGCUUGCUCUUACGGGUGGCGAGUGGCGGACGGGUGAGGAAUACAUCGGAAUCUACUUUUUCGUGGGGGAUAACGUAGGGAAACUUACGCUAAUACCGCAUACGACCUACGGGUGAAAGCAGGGGAUCUUCGGACCUUGCGCGAUUGAAUGAGCCGAUGUCGGAUUAGCUAGUUGGCGGGGUAAAGGCCCACCAAGGCGACGAUCCGUAGCUGGUCUGAGAGGAUGAACCCCCACAGUGGAACAGAGACGGGGCCCAGACUCCUAGGGGGGGCAGCGGGGGGAAAUUGGGGACAGGGGGCGAGACCCUGAUCGCGCCACACCGCGGGGGUAAAAAGGCCCUUCGGUUUGUAAAGCCUUUUUGGGGGAAAAAAAAAACCGCGGGUAAACCCCCCGGUUUUCUGGCGGCCCAAAAAAAAAAAACCCCGGAACUUUUC
rnacentral:rRNA from 1 species